GCGGGGAUAGCUCAAUUGGGAGAGCGUCAGACUGAAGAUCUGAAGGUCACGCCUCUGGGGGGG
rnacentral:tRNA from 1 species